rnacentral:rRNA from 1 species
UCGAACGCGAAAGUGGAGCAAUCCAUGAGUAGAGUGGCAAACGGGUGAGUAACACGUGGGUGACCUGCCUUCGAGUGGGGGAUAACGUCCCGAAAGGGACGCUAAUACCGCAUAACAUGCUGUCUUUUAAGAGAGAGACAUCAAAGCCGGGGACCGCAAGGCCUGGCGCUUGAAGAGGGGCCCGCGCCUGAUUAGCUAGUUGGUGGGGUAAUGGCUCACCAAGGCAACGAUCAGUAUCCGGCCUGAGAGGGCGGACGGACACACUGGGACUGAGACACGGCCCAGACUCCUACGGGAGGCAGCAGUGGGGAAUUGUUCGCAAUGGGCGCAAGCCUGACGACGCAACGCCGCGUGGAGGAUGAAGAUUUUCGGAUCGUAAACUCCUUUCGAUCGAGACGAACGGCCCUCGGGCUAAUAUCCCGAGGGAGUGACGGUACCGAGAGAAGAAGCCCCGGCUAACUCCGUGCCAGCAGCCGCGGUAAUACGGGGGGGGCAAGCGUUGUUCGGAAUUACUGGGCGUAAAGGGCUCGUAGGCGGCCAACUAAGUCAUACGUGAAAUCCCUCGGCUUAACCGGGGAACUGCGUCUGAUACUGGAUGGCUUGAGUUCGGGAGAGGGAUGCGGAAUUCCAGGUGUAGCGGUGAAAUGCGUAGAUAUCUGGAGGAACACCGGUGGCGAAGGCGGCAUCCUGGACCGAUACUGACGCUGAGGAGCGAAAGCUAGGGGAGCAAACGGGAUUAGAUACCCCGGUAGUCCUAGCCCUAACGAUGAAUGCUUGGGUGUGGCGGGUAUCGAUCCCUGC